GACGAGCGCUGGCGGCUUGCUUAACACGUGCGAGUCGAGCGAGGAGGCCGAGCUUGCUAGGUGGAUUAGUGGCGAACGGGUGAGUAAUACGUGAGUAACCUACCUUUAACUCUGGGAUAAGCCUGGGAAACUGGGCCUAAUACCGGAUACGACCAAUCUCCGCAUGGGGUGUUGGUGGAAAGCGUUAUGUAGUGGUUAUAGAUGGGCUCACGGCCUAUCAGCUUGUUGGUGAGGUAAAGGCUCACCAAGGCGACGACGGGUAGCCGGCCUGAGAGGGUGACCGGCCACACUGGGACUGAGACACGGCCCAGACUCCUACGGGAGGCAGCAGUGGGGAAUAUUGCACAAUGGGCGCAAGCCUGAUGCAGCGACGCCGCGUGAGGGAUGACGGCCUUCGGGUUGUAAACCUCUGUUAGCAGGGAAGAAGAGAGAUUGACGGUACCUGCAGAGAAAGCGCCGGCUAACUACGUGCCAGCAGCCGCGGUAAUACGUAGGGCGCGAGCGUUGUCCGGAAUUAUUGGGCGUAAAGAGCUUGUAGGGCGGUUUGUCGCGUCUGCUGUGAAAGGCCGGAGCUUAACUCCGUGUAUUGCAGUGGGUACGGGCAGACUAGAGUGCAGUAGGGGAGACUGGAAUUCCUGGUGUAGCGGUGGAAUGCGCAGAUAUCAGGAGGAACACCGAUGGCGAAGGCAGGUCUCUGGGCUGUAACUGACGCUGAGAAGCGAAAGCAUGGGGAGCGAACAGGAUUAGAUACCCUGGUAGUCCAUGCCGUAAACGUUGGGCACUAGGUGUGGGGAACAUUCCACGUUUUCCGCGCCGUAGCUAACGCAUUAAGUGCCCCGCCUGGGGAGUACGGCCGCAAGGCUAAAACUCAAAGAAAUUGACGGGGGCCCGCACAAGCGGCGGAGCAUGCGGAUUAAUUCGAUGCAACGCGAAGAACCUUACCAAGGCUUGACAUAUACUGGAUCGCAUCAGAGAUGGUGUUUCCCUUCGGGGCUGGUAUACAGGUGGUGCAUGGUUGUCGUCAGCUCGUGUCGUGAGAUGUUGGGUUAAGUCCCGCAACGAGCGCAACCCUCGUUCUAUGUUGCCAGCACGUUAUGGUGGGGACUCAUAGGAGACUGCCGGGGUCAACUCGGAGGAAGGUGGGGAUGACGUCAAAUCAUCAUGCCCCUUAUGUCUUGGGCUUCACGCAUGCUACAAUGGCCGGUACAGAGGGUUGCGAUACUGUGAGGUGGAGCUAAUCCCUAAAAGCCGGUCUCAGUUCGGAUUGGGGUCUGCAACUCGACCCCAUGAAGUCGGAGUCGCUAGUAAUCGCAGAUCAGCAACGCUGCGGUGAAUACGUUCCCGGGCCU
rnacentral:rRNA from 1 species